GACAGAGGAUGCAAGCGUUAUCCGGAAUGAUUGGGCGUAAAGCGUCUGUAGGUGGCUUUUCAAGUCCGCCGUCAAAUCCCAGGGCUCAACCCUGGACAGGCGGUGGAAACUGGGCAGCUAGAGUGUGUCAGAGGAUGGUGGAAUUCCCGGUGUAGCGGUGAAAUGCGUAGAGAUCGGGAGGAACAUCAGUGGCGAAGGCGGCCAUCUGGGACAACACUGACGCUGAAGCACGAAAGCGUGGGGAGCAAACAGG
rnacentral:rRNA from 1 species